AAAACUUAGGAAGAGCUGGAUGCCUCCUACGGAGAGCGUCCCCUUCCAAGCGGCCCCGGAGUGGAGUGGAGUGGAUAGGGGUAGACUUUUCACACGGGGACAAAUUAUUACAGGAUAUCUGCAGCCCCCCGUUCCGAGUCACUCGGGCGCAUCGGUUACUUCAGCAGGUUCUCUGCAUCACGGACCCUUUUGAGGCUCAGAUGGAGCCUUGCUCUGUCGCCCAGGCUGGAGUGCAAUGGCACAAUCUCGACUCACUGCAACCUCCAUCUCCGAGGUUCAAGUUAUUCUCCUGCCUCAACCUCCUGAGUAGCUGGGAUUACAGGCGUGCACGAUCAUGCCCACCUAAUUUUUAUUUUUACUAGAGACCAUGUUGGCCAGGCUUGUCUCGAACUCCUGACCUCAG
rnacentral:antisense_RNA from 1 species